AUUGAACGCUGGCGGCAUGCCUUACACAUGCAAGUCGAACGGCAGCACGGGGGCAACCCUGGUGGCGAGUGGCGAACGGGUGAGUAAUGCAUCGGAACGUGCCUAGUAGUGGGGGACAACCAGUCGAAAGAUUGGCUAAUACCGCAUACGACCUACGGGUGAAAGCGGGGGACCGUAAGGCCUCGCGCUAUUAGAGCGGCCGAUGUCUGAUUAGCUAGUUGGGGAGGUAAAAGCUCACCAAGGCGACGAUCAGUAGCUGGUCUGAGAGGACGACCAGCCACACUGGGACUGAGACACGGCCCAGACUCCUACGGGAGGCAGCAGUGGGGAAUUUUGGACAAUGGGCGCAAGCCUGAUCCAGCCAUGCCGCGUGCGGGAAGAAGGCCUUCGGGUUGUAAACCGCUUUUGGCAGGAACGAAACGGCGCGGGCUAGUACCCAGCGUUAAUGACGGUACCUGCAGAAUAAGCACCGGCUAACUACGUGCCAGCCGCCGCCGUAAGAC
rnacentral:rRNA from 1 species